GGUAUAUUGUUGCCAAAUAAUAGAUUUUUUUUUUAAUUAAAAUAUUUGACAGAUCAUGGUAACUCGUGAAGCAACAUCUCAGAAUUGAAUCGGCGAGUUGUGUAUUUGCUGACAAUCCGAGCCUGCUCCGUUUAGAUUUGCAUAAUAGGAAUCAAAAAUUUUCGAAACUGCCAUCGCGGAAGGCCUGGUUGAAUGAACAUUGUUUUCGUCGAACCUCUAAAGGUUAACGAUUUGGAUCAUUUUGGAAGAUACAUACGCCGCGCUUUUCAAAGCGGACUGACGUGCCCUUGUGCAACUUGAUAAAGGCGGAAUUAUUUUAGGAAAGACCAUGGCAACUAGUAAAGCAGAAUCCGAGAAUUCAAUCGGCGGCUGUAUGUUGACUGACAAGAAUAUAAUUGCUGUUAAUCCGGCCCUGCGUCGUGUACAAAUGCAUAGUGGGGAGACAUGAACAUUUUUCGAAAUUGCGGACCUACCCUCUUGGGACUCUACGUUGGACAAAUUCUGAAAACGACCCCAGAAAUAUAAUUGGUGAGAAAAUAGUUUUUUUUUGUGUUAACAGUUAACAAUUUUUUAUUUUGGAAAUAAUUGGUUUCAGUAUGUACUGGUAUUAGUGAAUCAAUUUAAUGGCCUCAGCAUCUCUAAACCCACCAUCUUGAGACGCGUUAACGAUCCGGAUCGAGUUACGUCGCGUAAUUGGGUCACUUUUUUAAUUAAAAAAUGAAAGAUGUACCUACCAUACUUUAGAAACCCCUACUCCCCUUUGGAGGUGAUGAAAUAAGUUUUGGCAUAAAAUAUAAGUUCCUCAUUACUUUGAUAUGAUAAGUAUAAGUCUUGCCUGUUUUUUUUAAAGGAGGUUCAAACCCGUGCGAGGUGAGCUUUCAUAUAUGAAACAGACCAGUCAUGGGGACACGAGAUAUGGAAAGUUUCAGCGUAGUCGUCGCCACAUUGCUGCCAACACUGCAUAUAUAAGGAAUCACGAACCAUUCAGGAAUAUUGAGACUUAGACCAGUAUCUUUUUAAGUAGGCAUGUGGGGUAAAGAAGACGCAGAAGCUUCAGUCGGGUACCAUCGGUAACGUAGGCAAUUGAUAUAUUUCCACCACUACAUAUGUUGGAGUGGAAUUUCCCAUUUGAUGCUUUGACUGACUAAAUGAGAAAACUUGGAGAUAUUAAUGGUGGAGCCACACAGCUUCCAGUUCCGAAAAAAGAAAUCGAACACUUUUCGUCUUUAUUUCCCCUGUCCUUUGUGCGCAAUAAAAGUACAGUUUGUACCCGCGAGGGUACACAUUCGCAGAACUAUAUGUUUUUAAAAUAAAUGCUUUGGUCAAUAUUCACUAGGUGGGGUUACCUUAUUAAAGAAAAUCUUAUUCCAAGAGGGAACACUAGUUUAUAUUCGAACCGCUAGAGGGUGCAGAUGGUCACGCGAACAAUAUGAUCAAGUCUCAUUGACGGGUGGGAAAAUAUCUGGGCUCUGAUUGGCUUCGCCGCCAUCGCAAACUAGAUGAGGGGGAUUGAUUAAACCCCACAUUUCUGGUUGCUUAUGCAAUGGGGGCCAGUUUCAAGGG